CCUACGGGUAGCAGCAGUGAGGAAUAUUGGUCAAUGGGCGGGAGCCUGAACCAGCCAAGUCGCGUGAGGGAAGAAGGUACUGAGUAUUGUAAACCUCUUUUGCCAGGGGACAAAGGCGGCCACGGGUGGCCGUAAGCGUGUACCUGGCGAAAAAGCAUCGGCUAACUCCGUGCCAGCAGCCGCGGUAAUACGGAGGAUGCGAGCGUUAUCCGGAUUUAUUGGGUUUAAAGGGUGCGCAGGCGGCGUGUCAAGUCUGCGGUAAAAUUUCGGGGCUCAACCCCGGCCGGCCGUUGAAACUGGCGUGCUCGAGUUGGAGGGAAGUAUGCGGAAUUCGUGGUGUAGCGGUGAAAUGCAUAGAUAUCCCGAAGAACCCCGAUUGCGAAGGCAGCAUACCGGAUCCACACUGACGCUGAGGCACGAAAGCGUGGGUAUCGAACAGGAUUAGAUACCCCAGUAGUC
rnacentral:rRNA from 1 species